AUGAACGCUGGCGGCGUGCCUAAUACAUGCAAGUCGAGCGAACGGACGAGAAGCUUGCUUUUCUGAUGUUAGCGGCGGACGGGUGAGUAACACGUGGAUAACCUACCUAUAAGACUGGGAUAACUUCGGGAAACCGGAGCUAAUACCGGAUAAUAUUUUGAACCGCAUGGUUCAAAAGUGAAAGACGGUCUUGCUGUCACUUAUAGAUGGAUCCGCGCUGCAUUAGCUAGUUGGUAAGGUAACGGCUUACCAAGGCAACGAUGCGUAGCCGACCUGAGAGGGUGAUCGGCCACACUGGAACUGAGACACGGUCCAGACUCCUACGGGAGGCAGCAGUAGGGAAUCUUCCGCAAUGGGCGAAAGCCUGACGGAGCAACGCCGCGUGAGUGAUGAAGGUCUUCGGAUCGUAAAACUCUGUUAUUAGGGAAGAACAUAUGUGUAAGUAACUGUGCACAUCUUGACGGUACCUAAUCAGAAAGCCACGGCUAACUACGUG
rnacentral:rRNA from 1 species